AUUGAACGCUGGCGGAAUGCUUUACACAUGCAAGUCGAACGGCAGCACGGACUUCGGUCUGGUGGCGAGUGGCGAACGGGUGAGUAAUGUAUCGGAACGUGCCCAGUCGUGGGGGAUAACGUAGUGAAAAUUACGCUAAUACCGCAUACGAUCUAUGGAUGAAAGCGGGGGAUCGCAAGACCUCGCGCGAUUGGAGCGGCCGAUAUCAGAUUAGGUAGUUGGUGGGGGAAAGGACCACCAAGCCAACGAUCUGUAGCUGGUCUGAUAGGACGACCAGCCACACUUGAACUGAGACACGGUCCAGACUCCUACGGGAGGCAGCAGUGGGGAAUUUUGGACAAUGGGCGAAAGCCUGAUCCAGCCAUUCCGCGUGCGGGAUGAAGGCCCUCGGGUUGUAAACUGCUUUUGUACAGAACGAAAAGGUUUCUACUAAUACUAGGAGCUCAUGACGGUACUGUAAGAAUAAGCACCGGCUAACUACGUGCCAGCCGCCGCGGUAA
rnacentral:rRNA from 1 species